rnacentral:rRNA from 1 species
GAUGAACGCUGGCGGCGUGCCUAAUACAUGCGAGUCGAGCGAACGGACGAGGAGCUUGCUCCUCUGACGUUAGCGGCGGACGGGUGAGUAACACGUGGAUAACCUACCUAUAAGACUGGGAUAACUUCGGGAAACCGGAGCUAAUACCGGAUAAUAUAUUGAACCGCAUGGUUCAAUAGUGAAAGACGGUUUUGCUGUCACUUAUAGAUGGAUCCGCGCCGCAUUAGCUAGUUGGUAAGGUAACGGCUUACCAAGGCAACGAUGCGUAGCCGACCUGAGAGGGUGAUCGGCCACACUGGAACUGAGACACGGUCCAGACUCCUACGGGAGGCAGCAGUAGGGAAUCUUCCGCAAUGGGCGAAAGCCUGACGGAGCAACGCCGCGUGAGUGAUGAAGGUCUUCGGAUCGUAAAACUCUGUUAUUAGGGAAGAACAAAUGUGUAAGUAACUAUGCACGUCUUGACGGUACCUAAUCAGAAAGCCACGGCUAACUACGUG